GCUUUUGUUCAUAUUCCAUGUUAUUACAGCUUCUCCCAACAAACUAGGAAGGUUAUGCAUGCCGUGAGGGACUCAAAAUCUGCAAGGUUUCAUCCUCCACUUCAUUUAUUCAUUUCUUUUGCAGAUGUAUGACAACUAGAAGAUGCCUUAUUCCAUCCAUCCAUUCAUUUAUAUGCCUUGUUCCAUCCAUCCAUUCAUUUAUCACCAAAAUCCAAGCACCUGAUCAGCCACCAAUGGGAUUCAAGGUAAAACGGCCUACUUUUGUUAUCCUCAUUUUGCAUGGAUUGCAUGCAGACUUUCCUUUAUCAACCUGAAUGAAUUUUCCACUUGUGGUAUGCUUUAUCCGUUUCUCCUUAUAUUUAUUUUCCCCUCUUUGGUAAUCUUCUCUAGCAAUUGUUCUCUCAAAUUAAAUGUAUAAAAACAUGUACAAAUUGAAACCUCCAUUUUAGACCAAUCCUUGUUUAUGCCAUUUUUGUAAAAUAUGUUUCCUUUGCUAUAGUCAAUUCCUUGAAUCACUCUACGAGGCUCAAAACUCCUAUAUGAUUAUUUGACUUGGGGUUGUAACUAUUACAUUUGCCUUCAAUUCUGUCUAGUUUUCCACAGGGAUUUUGCGAGAUAUUGUUCCAUUUGAUCCAUCUACAUCCAUGUCUUUUCUGUUCUAUCAACUGUGUAAAUCUUUAAUGUGGAUAGGUUUGAUUUAUAUCAUCUUCAUAGCAUGUGGGUAUGUUGAGGGCAGAGCAGAGCAAUGUACUAUUUUCUAUUCCUGAGAACUGAAAAUAUGCCCAGAAAACAUGUUUGGUACCGCAUUUUUUCAUGCUUUUAUUUUCAGUCUCUUUAAGAAAAUUUAAGUUCUGGAAUCUUCGUAAUGUUUUGAGGAUUGGGAAUCAGGUGAUGGUAUCUAUUUUCGCAGGAUGACUGAAUUGAUUUGUUGUCAUAGCAGGUAGGGUUUUUUCUCUGUUCAGUCUAGUUGAAGAUGACUUUUGAUGGUGGGGGGUAACGGGAAUUAUAGGGCCUCUUUGGUAACAGUUUUUGAGAACGGUUCUCAAAGAACAAUUAUUAGAAGCAGUUUUCAACUGUUUUCAAGAACAAAAUUUGUUUAAAAGCUCAAAUUGUUUUUUCUUUGUACUAAAGAACAUGCAACUGUUUUCAAGAUCACUUACCAAACAGACCCCAAGACUUUGUCUUUGAGGUUGAAACAAAAUGUGAUGACAGUAAAGGGUGAGAGUAUUGUAACGUUGUACUCGGUGAUACGUGUAAAUGGGUGGAUUUGAUUGUAUAAUAAGGGUGUGUUUGGGAGGCUUUUUAUUUGAAGCAUUUUCUUUAGAAACGUUUUUAGUCUUGUCGAGAGCUAUAAAUGAUUUUUAAUUUUUAAAAAUACCUAAUUUUUUUUCUUUCAAAAACCUUUUUGUACGUUAGAAAUAUUUUAAAAAAUAAUUAUGUUAAUAUUUUCUAGGAAUUUGUCCCUUGUUACUAUUAUCAUGGAUUCGAUGGGGAAAAAGUUGAUGUGUGAAGGAAAACGAUUUGGAUGAGAGUGCUCUUGAUAAACACGUUCAUUUGAGAGUGAUUUUAAGAUGGAGCAAAAGCAUUUCAUAAUGUUUAGAAACGCUUUCUUAGGUGUUUGAUAAAUUUUUAAAAAUUCAAAGAAUGAUUUGAAAUGAUAUUCAUAAACAACGAUUUAGAUCAUUUUUACAAAAAUCACCUUUGAUUAUAUACAAAGUAUUAAAAAAUAUAUUAUCCUAACAUUGAUUCCUCAACUGUUUUUAAUGGAAGCAUUGAUAACAAAAAUACAUUAGAUCACUAAAUCUUUCGACUGGACUGUAGAGUAAAAAUGUUUUUAUCCUUUCUACUAUUUGAAAAUUUUUAUGUAAUAGAAAAUUUUUAUUUUAGAAAUAUUAAAAAUACUUUUUAAAAUCAACGGCAAACAUGCUCUUCUGUUUGGUAAUUUAAAAAACACUUUUUAGUACAAAAGUGUCUUUGAAGAAAAAUAAGCAUUUCGCAAUUUAAAAAAGGUUAAAAAAGAUAGUGUUUUUUUAAGAACAUUGGAUAAAUAAUUCUUUUAAAAAUAUCUAUAAAAAAUGUUUUCACUAUUCAAAUAUAAAUACUCUUAAGGCACGUUUAUUUUCUCUAGAAACAUUUUUUUCAAAAGAAUUGCUUACCAAAUACUACUACAAAAAGCACUCUAUAAAUGAUUUUUUUAACUUUUUAGAAGUGUUUAAUAAAUUUUAUUGAUUUUUUUUCCAAAAAAAACCUUUUUAUACUGAGGGUGUUCUCUAAAAGCAUCGUUAAACAAACUCUUAUAAGGUUGCAGAAAGCUUCUAAUCAAAAUUCAAAGUUUCAACCAUUUAAAGAAGCAUUCAACAAAAAAAUCAAUCGCAAGUUUCGAUCCAACAAGGCGACCCGCAAAAGCGAAAACGACUAUGUUGUUGCUUUUCUGGAUUUGCAUUAGGUUUUUGAAGUUAAUUGUUCAAGGGUUAACAUAAAUGCGAUUCUAAUAAACAAAGACCUAUUCCAUAUUUCAGUGAUAAGCUUAAUCAUACAAAUAAGAGCUCAAUAAUCAGCCUACCGCCAUGAGUUCCAAGUAGUAUUAUUUCAUUUGUAAUAUCACAAGAAUGCAGCAAGAAUCUAUUUGUAUAAGGAGUUUUAGGUUACCUCUUCAAGUAGCUUUGCUGAAAGAAUUCUUUCAAUGACAAGAUGUAGCGAUGUAGUCCAUGGAUCAGACCAUGACUUGGUUUCUGAAUACCAGCUAUCAGCCCCCGAUAAUCUGACAAUGUGGCAUCAGACAAUGGCUCCAAGAACUCGCAGUGAGCCAAAAUUUCAGGUGGGGGCAUUCCAGCAAUGAGGUUGGUUUCCAGUUUUGGUUUCCCCUUGGUGAGCUCUCUAGGGGCUUCAACUGAGGCACAUUCAAUUGCAGAGGGGGAUGCACCGGGGAUUACUUCCUCUGUGAAAGGAAAAGCUCUUGCAGCUUGCAAGCAGAACUCUAUCCAUUGAUGGAUUACUGGAGAUGGCCCUCUGACUCGGCCCCCGAUUUGGCGGCUUCUUUCAAGUUUUGAAGUAGAUGGGAUUGCCUGCAGAAAGGAUACAGCAGAAUAUCCUAGUAAAUACACUAGUACACCAUGGAACAUAGACCAGCAUAGGAUAUCCAAAUCAGCUGAAAUAUCAAAACAGAUUCCAAUUCUCAUUAUAUUUAUCAUUAACCUGGUUCUUUCCUCAAUUUUUUUUUUCUUUUUCUUUUUAGAGCAUUAUUGAUAUAUUAGGGUUUUUGUUUUUCUUUUUUAUAGGCGAAGAUCAACACACUGUGAAGAAAGAAAGUAAAUGCAUAGUAUUAUGAGAUGAAAUCAGGACAUACCCAAAGAUCUGCCCAUAAGCUAGCUCCAGACUUAGGAACAAUUACUGCAACAUUAGACAUGCGUUUGGCUGCAGGAAGGACAUCACUACUCCACCCAACAGCCACCCAUACAUCUCCCACACUAAGUGCUUUUAUAUAGUGUGUGCUGUCAAAGCAUCGUACCUAUAUAAAGCCAUUUGAAUGCGUAAGUCCCAUUAUUGAUAUAAAAAAUAACAACCAUUGUACCACUCCAAAUGCAAAAUAGCUUUUAUGGAAUUCAAUUUCUUUUUGUUUUUCCUUUUUGACAGCACAAAAAUGGUAAGUUACCCUUACAUAAGCCAUAACUCACAAGUUGUAUCAGACUGAUUACCGUAGUUUACAAAAUCCGGUAGAAUUGACUCAGAGACUCAAAGUUAAUACAUAACAUAUCAAGUCCCAGAGCAAUACCAUCCAGUUAUUUUUGGUUAAUCACAUGAUAUUUAUUUCUUCUAUUUUAUGUUUUUUUUCCUUUUUCCUUUCUUUUCUCCAUUUCUUUGAUGAACUCACGGCUCUCAUCCUGGAUGUAAGAAAUAUCUAGCCAAUGAACAAUACUUAUUAUUGCAUGAGCGUCAGAUAAAACAACCGACAUAAUCUCAAUACCUGUUUCGCAAGCAACAUAAGAUUCUGCUGUACAGCAUUCCUCCCACCAUUAACUUGCAAUUCAAUGUUGUCUGUGUUGUAGGAUGCUCCCAUGUACUUUAAAACAGCACCAACAACCUCUCGUGGAGAAUCAAUCAUUGAAAUCCUCCCUGCAAGUUCAGGUCGCCAUAAAUCUGCCCAGUCCUGCAACCAUCAACUACUUAGUCCCAGAAUAAUUUUUUAUAGAAAACAAAGUUUUUGAAAAAUCCAUAGCAAUAGCUAGAAGUUUUUAUAAUGAGAUGAGUUGAAGCCAUGGCAAUGACAAGCAAUUAUACGAAUUCAUGCCUUCCCAAAUAAUCGGACGAACAAAUGCAGUGGUUGUGGGGGUUCUAUAGGAGACACAAUUUGCUGUGGCAUUAUUGAAAAUAUUUAUUUAUUUAUUUUUUGAUACUUAAUAUUGUUGCUACUCUUAUUCCUUUGACUUGAAGAAAUUCAAACCUGGAAUUUCCCAAAUCCCAGUCCAACCAAUUGCCCCUUGAGCCAGGCAUUAUUGGAAGCAUUUAUGGACUGAAACAACAAUCACUUAGCUAACUUUGUGGGUACGUGAUCACAUGUUGUCCUAAGAAUUGUCCUAAGAAAGACAUCUCUUAAUGUCACCAAAAUUGUGCUUCCUAUGUUCAACUCAUUAUUGAUGUUGGAUUGAAAAUUGGUUUCUUGGAGAAUUGACAUUGGGAGGAUCUACCCCUUUGCCUUCUUUUGAUCCUUGUCAAUUUCCUUCCUCAGAACAGAGAUUUCCCAAUACCCACAAUUCUCCAUUCUGAAACUCAAACUUUCAGCUUCACCAAACUAAUCAAGAAGUUAAUGGCCUGUAUAUUCUAAUCCUUUCCUUAAACCACAUUUAUCUAUCUUCAUCCUUUCCAAAUGAAAGAAUAGGAUCCAUGGCCUUCAGUUUUUUCUAAGCUAAGCCCUACUUUUCUAGCCUUUCUAAAAGUGGCAACCCAACACUCCUUUGUCAUCACCAACUUUAUUUGAAGUCCAUGGCUAUUCCAAAAAUUGGGCCUUGGCAUAGUUUAUCUGAGAUUGAAGCUCAAGAAUGUAAAUUGUAUUUUCCAGAAAUAGAUUCCAAAAGAGGAACAGAUAAGAGAUUCUUGUUCAAAUGUUUAGUUAUCAUUAGGAAUUUGAGAUUCCCCUCUAUCUUAAUAUUUUAGUUGUAGGUUUUCUCAAUAUUAUGAGAGAAAUAGAAUUGAUAGAAAAAUUAUGAACACCCCUUCAAAACAUAUUUAUUAAUAACAAAAAGAUUUAUUUAUAGGGGAAUAAAAAUGGGGUUGUCUCUUUGAUUUUUUCCAUUUUCUAAAAUCAAGAAUAAAAUAUCAUGGGUGGAGUGGGUAGGAGAUCCAACCUUGUUUGGGAUGAACUCAUAC
rnacentral:lncRNA from 1 species